UACAGAGGUGGCGAGCGUUGUUCGGAAUUACUGGGCGUAAAGGGCGCGUAGGCGGCCUGUUAAGUCGAACGUGAAAUCCCCGGGCUCAACCCGGGAACUGCGUCCGAUACUGGCAGGCUUGAAUCCGGGAGAGGGAUGCGGAAUUCCAGGUGUAGCGGUGAAAUGCGUAGAUAUCUGGAGGAACACCGGUGGCGAAGGCGGCAUCCUGGACCGGCAUUGACGCUGAGGCGCGAAAGCCAGGGGAGCAAACGGG
rnacentral:rRNA from 1 species